GGGCGCAUAGCUCAGCGGUAGAGCUCUGGUCUUACAAACCAGCGGUCGCAGGUUCGAUCCCUGCUGCGCCCA
rnacentral:tRNA from 2 species